rnacentral:rRNA from 1 species
GACGAACGCUGGCGGCGUGCUUAACACAUGCAAGUCGAACGGAAAGACCCCUUUGUUGGUCCUCUAGUGUCGAACGGGUGAGUAACACGUAAGUAACCUGCCCUUAACUUCAGGAUUACUUUAGGUAACUGGGGCUAAUACCAGAUAGGGAUCCUAUCUUCAUGGGGGUGGUUGGAAAGCGUCGGCGGGUUUUGAUGUACUCGCUGGUUAUCAGCUUGUUGGUGUGGCAGUGGCUUACCAAGGCGUUGACGGGUAGCCGGACUGAGAGGGCGACCGGCGACAUUGGGACUGAGGUGCGGCACAGACACCGAAGCGAGGGAGAAGUGCGGAAUCUUGCACAAUCAGCGGCAGCCGGAUGAAGCAACGCCGCGUGCCGGAUGACGGCCUUAGGGUUGUAGACCGAUUUCAGAAGGAGCGAAGCUUGUGGUGACGGUACCUGCAGAAGAAGCACCGGCUAACUACGUG